GCUGGAUCUAUAAAAAUAUACAUGAUCUUGAAGAUGGUGUGGAAUCACUUGAUGCGCAUUGAUGAGCCGACUUCUGGAACCGGUUCAAGUGUAGAAAGGCCUUAAGAAACUAGUAAUUAAUCAUGAAUGAUGAUGACAUCAUCAAUUAAUUUUUAAUACUUAAUUGAAGUAGCUGACCAGCAAACAACAAAAACUUAAAACAUGUAUAUAUACACGGACUUUGGCCUAAUUUUUGAGAAACUUCAAAAAUGUCUAAGAAUUUAAAUUUUGAUCAGAAUGAGCUCAAACUUUCUACACAGCUAGGAACAUUUAUACACAUCAGAAAAAUGGAGAAUCUCCUUUUUCCAAUUUUGACAUUUGGCCCAAGACCAUAUACUAUCUACAGUAAGACUUGUGGCUACAACAAAUAAUGGAUUAAGACCUCUUAUCUGUUUUAAACAAUAUUCAUGGAGACAUAUUUAUGAUAACUGGUCAAGCAAAUGCACCCUUAAGGUAUUUCGUUGCAUGACUUCCAUGUUGUGGUCUCCAUAGCAUUUGGAAACGUCAUUCAUAUCAUUAACAUCAAACGGAAUUAUUCAUGAGUAGUUUAAAUUACCUUAUGUACCACACCAGGAGUGCAUGAUGAGUAAUAAUAGUACUAUCUGCUCUAGUCUCACCCCGCCCCUUUGAGGCGAGACUAUAUCUGCUCAUCAUGACUCCUGACCAUACCAAUGCCAAUGCACACGAACAUAAUGCAUUGUUUUAUUAUUUAUGUAGAGAAUUGUUGCAGAUGAGAAGUUACACCAUCCAAGUUACGAUUUAGAUGACCUGUGGUUUAAACUCAGCCCCAUACAUUUGGUGAGAAGAUUAGGUUACUUUGAUACACGUGACAAGACUCAUAUUUCAGUUGUAUUCAUUACUAUGCUUGAGAUGAGAAAUGAAACCAGACCUCAGUUAUAUGCCUCUUUGAUAUACGAGGGAAAUAAAGAAGUUUGUGUUCAUCUUGAAAAUUGGGUUGAAGCAGGUACAUUCAGACUUUGGGAUCAUGAAUAUUUUUUCACUGUUUUAUAUCGUACAAGAAUCAAUAGCAUUCCUACCAAUGAAGCUCCACUCCAUGCUUUUAUUGGACAUAACUGCAGUAAAGACAAUGGAUACAUACCAAUACAAUACA